ensembl:lncRNA
ACAACUGAGCGAUUAAACAGCAGCAGCCCAGAGGGCAAUGGUCAAUGGCAUGCAUCCCUGAAGUCUGCAAAUCCAGGCAGCACUCCUUCCCCAGAGGACACGGCUUAGGUGUGGAACAGCCAGAUCUCUCCAGACACUCUUCUAGGCACGUCAGAUCUGGCAGGAGACGAAACUGUCAAACACCCCAGCGUUUGUGGAGCUCACACUCCAGUGGGGAAGACUGACAACAAAAACGUGAGUAAAUCUGCCACCUUGAUUCCCGUUUCUGAGAUGAACAGGGCUGAAAUCGUUACAAAAGGGGAGAUUAUUUGUCUUUCCAUGUAGCCUUCUGGGAAGGCCCCUGCCCGGUGAAAGAGAGUGACUUUGAAAGGGAGGCGGGAUGCAGGCACGCUGGCAGGCAAGCUGGGGGGCCUCCAACAGAGCUUGGCAAAACCAAGCCAGCAGACAGCUUCUUGCCUUGUGGGAGGGGAAGAGGAACGCAUUUGUAAAGUCUGGACUUUUAACCAAGCCAAGAUGUGCGUGCCCAGUCAUGUUCGACGCUUUGCAGCCCCAUGGAAAUGUAGCCCACCAGGCUCCUCUGUCCAUGGGAUUUCCCAGGCUCUGGAGCGGGUGGCCAUGCCCUUCUCCAGGGGAUCUUCCCACCCAAGGAUCCAACCCAUAUAUCUUCCGUCUCCUGGGCUGGCGAGCAGGUUCUUCACCACUAGUAUCACCUAGGAAGCCCUUGUCAUGCUUACAUUCAGUCAAAAGCUAUUCAAAAUGCAGAGAUGGUAAGAGUCUUUCCACGAGGCCCUCGCAGAGUGUGGCCACGAAAGCCGUAUAAACAAUCUUCAGUCUGCUCCUCCCAGGCAUCUUCCCAGCUCAGGGAUCGAACCCAUGUCUCCUGCAUCAUAGGAAGAUUCUUUACUGCUGAGCCACCAGAGAAGCCUGGGGAAUCUGCCCAAGUCAGCACAAAUCCUUUUUAACAUUUUUUAAAAAGUCUUUAUUGAAUUUGUUACAAUAUUGCUUCUAUUUCAUGUUUUGUUUUGUUUUGUUUUGUUUUGUUUUGUU